rnacentral:rRNA from 1 species
UACGGAGGGUGCGAGCGUUGUCCGGAAUCACUGGGCGUAAAGGGUGCGUAGGCGGGUCUUUAAGUCAGGGGUGAAAUCCUGGAGCUCAACUCCAGAACUGCCUUUGAUACUGCAAAUCUCGAGUCCGGAAGAGGUGAGUGGAAUUCCUAGUGUAGAGGUGAAAUUCGUAGAUAUUAGGAAGAACACCAGUGGCGAAGGCGGCUCACUGGUCCGGUACUGACGCUGAGGUGCGAAAGCGUGGGGAGCAAACAGG